UUACUUUGACUUGUAUUUCAUUGCAGACAAUGUGAACACAAAAUAUUUCAUGUUUUGUCUGGUCAGCUUAAUUUCAUUUGUAAAUAUACAUCCUUUCCUGUCAUUCAGACCUGCAACACAUUCCAAAAAAGGUUGGGACAGGAGCAAUUUAGGGCUAGUAAUCAGGUAAAUUGGUUAAAUAAUGAUGUGAUUUGAAACAGGUGAUGUCAACAUCCUUUAGGAGCAAAGAUGGGCCGAGGAUCGCCAGUUUGCCAACAAAUACGUGAGAAAAUUAUUGAAAUGUUUAAAAACAAUGUUCCUCAAAGAAAGAUAGGAAGACAUUUGCUUAUUUCACCUUCAACAGUGCAUAACAUAAUUAAAAGAUUCAAGGAAUGUGGAGGAAUUUCAGUGCGUAAAGGACAAGGGCGCAAGCCUAAGCUGAACAACCGAUAUCACCACAUGGGCUCAGGACUACUUUGGCAAACCUUUGUGAAGUACCACAAUACGUAGUUACAUCCACAAAUGCCAGUUAAAACUGUACUGUGCCAAAAGGAAGCCCUAUGUUAACAGUGUCCAGAAGCGCCGUCGACUUCUCUGGGCUCGGAGGCAUCUGGGAUGGACCAUCACACAGUGGAAACGUGUACUGUGAUCAGAUGAAUCAGUAUUUCAGGUAUUUUUGGGGAGAAAUGUACGCCGUGUGCUCCGGACCAAAGAAGAAAAGGAUCAUCCAGACUGUUACCAGCAACAAGUCGAAAAGCCAGGGUCUGUCAUGGUAUGGGGUUGUGUCAGUGCCCUUGGCAAAGGUAACUUGCACUUCUGUGAUGGCACCAUUAAUGCUGAAAAGUACAUAGAGAUUUUGGAGCACAAUAUGCUGCCUUCAAGAAGACAUCUUUUCCAGGGACGUCCAUGCAUAUUUCAACAAGAUAAUGCAAAACCACAUUCUGCACACAGUGUUGUGAAAAGGAAUGGCAACAUUACAAAGUGGUAAAUGCUUUACUGUUCCAACUUUUUUUGAAAUGUGUUGCAAGAACCAAAAUAGGAAUUUUGUUUUUUUGAAAAACAAAACAAAAAAAAAAACAAUAAAAAUCAUGAGGAACACAUUAAAUAAUGUGCUGUUGUAUUGUCUGCAAUGAAAUACAAGUCAAAGUAAAUUUAGAAAUCACUACUUUUUUUAUUUGUGUUUUCCAUACUGUCUCAACUUUUUCUGAUUUGGGGUUGUAUUAUAUGAAUUAAUAUAAAUAUAAUAAAUAAUUAGCAGCAAAAGAUAAGCAAUUUUGUCCCUAAAAUGUUUUCACAAUAAACUGACUAAAUUUGGAGCGAGAGAUACAGGGGGAGUGGCUUUAUUGCGUCAGAUAAUGUCACUUUACUCACAGCUGAUUGUUAUCCAUGUAGUGUAAGUUACCAUAGCAAUGAACUUCGCUAAAAACCAAUCCACCUUCAUAAGCCCGAAAAACCAGAGUUUACUCAAACUAAUCUUGAACUUACCUGGGUAGAAACUGAAACCGGCUCUGUGCAACAGGCCAAAGGGUUUCUAUUUUGCUGUUUAUUUUAUUUAUUUAUUUUUUUGUUUGUUUUUGUUUUUGAGGCCCAACACAUAUGUGGUGUCAGAGCGUAACAACCCUGGAAUAACAUCUACAGAGUUACAACACAAUUUGAAGCGGAGGAGAGGAUCAGUUCACGUGCGCGUCAGGCCGCCGCCUCUCUUGAACUGCUGCGACUGAACAACAUCCAUUGGCUGGUUAUUGAAGAGGAAUGGCGGCACGAGACAGCGGCAUAGACAGUGUUGGUGGCAUGAGUACUGCAACUACUGUAAUGCUGUCCCGCACAGACACCGAUUACAGCACAUCAGAGGAUGAGGAACACCUGCCUGUUGUCCGCCCUUUGUCUCCUCCACCGCUACCACCACAACUACCCGUACCACCACCGCCUUCUCCUGUUCCUCACAAUUUUGAAAAUGACUCAGAUGACAGCACAUCAGGGGUUGAGGAAGGCCCACUUGAUCAUCAUCUUCUUCCUCCUCAUCCACCACUCCUUCCUCACGAAGACGAUUUUGAUGACUCAGAUGACAGCACAUCAGGGGUUGAGGAAGGCCCACUUGAUCAUCAUCUUCUUCCUCCUCAUCCACCACUCCUUCCUCACGAAGACGAUUUUGAUGACUCAGAUGACAGCACAUCAGGGGUUGAGGAAGGCCCACUUGAUCAUCAUCUUCUUCCUCCUCAUCCACUGCUCCUUCCUCACGAAGACGAUUUUGAUUAUUUUGCUGAUGACGAGGAAGAAGACUAAGCUCUCUUUUUAAGUAACAAUGAUAUUGUUAUUAUAAUACUUAUAUAUAUAAAAAAAAAAAAGUUCAUUUAAUAAUAGCAUUGAUAAAUAAAGAGCAUUAAUAUUUUUUAGUGUGUUCAUUGGUAAUUCUUCUUCUUAAUUUUUGCAAGGGACAAACUGAUCUGUUUUCAGGGGUCAAAAGCCUCCUGUAAGAUUCUAAUGUUAUUUCUAUCAGUAUCAAACUUAGAUUCUCAUUUUUAAAAUGAGCCUACAGACAUAUUUGUAUCAGCUGGGACUUUUUUUUUUUUUUUUAAUUCUACAUCAUCUUUCUGCAAAUAAUGCAGUAUUAUGACAUGCAGCUCAAUCCAAUAAACUGCAUAUGGGAUGGAUUUAAUCAUUUAAUUCUACAUCAUCUUUAUGCACAUUACUAAGCUAUAAUUGCAUUAUGUAUAUCUAAAUUGUGUCUACCAGUAUAUCGCCCACCCCUACUUAUUGUGCUUAAUACACUUGAACAUCGAGCACGUCUCUAAUUCGCGAUCGCCUUCUGAGAGAGGCAGGUUUCAUGCAUGCACUUUGGCAGUGUGUCAGUCAGCACGAGCGCUGCAGCGAGUUCCUUUUCAGGAUAUAUUCCACUUAUAACUCUUUUAACAUCAAGCCCGUCCCGCUCUUUAUAUUCUCAUUCAUGCAUUUCAUCACUCUGAAGUGUGCAAUAUAUUUACAUACUACGAUAUAGAGAUUUUGCUAUAUCGUAUAACGACAAACAUUUUAUUUCGUGGUAACGAUAUAUAUCGUCAUAUCGCACAGCCCUACAUGGCAAUGUUUCCUCAAUCAGCCAAUUCUGACUGUAUCUGCACAUUUCAGUCGAUAAAUAAAUGCUUUAAAAAUUCACUUAACCCGGUUACAUACUCAAACAGCUGUGCAUAGUGUAAAUCAUAUGGAAUGUGUGUCAUUCAUCUGUCCUAUAGGUGGACUGAAGCAGCCGUUUAAUGAUGAAACUCUUCUCAGUCAUUUAAGGUAUCAGAGAUGGCAAGUGAAGGAAAAGAUUUGUGGAGAGUAACUAUCCUCCGGUAUUGCCAGUUCAAUAUACUGUAGAUUCCAGUGGACAUACAGCAGUGUAUGUUCCAAUACUACAGAUGCUUCAAACAAUGUUUAAAAAUACAGAUCUUCUUGAUAGAAUUCAAGAAGCCAAACCAUCGCCACCUGGAAUGUACGUCUCAUGAAGACGGAACGUAUUUCAAACAAAAUGAGGUAUUGUCAGAAGCAGGAGAGCUGAAAUUGUCACUGAUUCUGUAUGUGGAUGACAUUGAACUAGCAAAUCCUUUCUUGAAAACCCUGUCAUCAGCACAUGGUGGCAUAUCACCUCAAUGCACCAUUUUUUUUUUUUUUUUUUUUUUCAGACCCCACAUACAGGUCUCGAGUGUUACUACAGACAGCCAAAACACAUACAGUACAUCAAAAGUCUCCAUCGAUGGCACAGAGUAUGCAAAUGGAACGUUUGUUUCUGCAGUCCAAGCAGGAGGACUUCCAAAAUUCAGCAGGAUUGAAAAUAUACUGCUUGUGAAUAACUCUGCUUCCUUCCUUUGCAGGAACUACGAACCCUGGUACACUGAGCAUUUAAGAUCAUUUGAGCUGACAUCAUCAGACAUCUUCUCUGUGCAUCAGCUGUCGGAACUAAAUGACACAUUUACCUGUGCCUGCAGUUCAACCCUCUCUGGUCCCGGAUGUCUACAGGUUUCGGACUCAUGCCUCACGGUUUCUGCGCUUGCAUCUCUCCUCUGGAUUUGUUGAUCUUUCCUGGACUCAUUCUGGUUACCAAACUUUUCACCUGUCCUUCGACUAUGCUCACCUGUCAGCCAUGUGCAGAGCCCACUUUUGUUCAAUACAUUUUCUGAACUGCCUUUGCUGCUUAUUUUUUAUUUAUUAAACUAUAUAUGAAGAGUUUGGUUCCAAAACGCAAUAAAUGCCAUUUUUUUAGAGAAAAAAAAAAAAGGAAUUGAGUUUCCGCCAAAAUCAGUAUUGUAUCUGGUCGGUUUUGAAAAGUCACUUAUUAAUUUUGCGUCGUGUUAUUCUUUCAUGUUUUCUCCCUUUCUUUUCAAAACGCGACAAAUGCCAGUCUCCCUUCUCUGCAGAAUGAGAUAUAUCCGCUCAUCCAAUCACAGCGCACCAUUCCACGCACUGUAAACAGUAAUGGCGGCGCUCUGAAUACACCCGGCAUCCUAGAUUUCCUUACCUGCUUUGUACUUUGUGAUCAACAAAAACAGAAAAAUGAAUAAUUUUGACGGCAUUGAUGAACCUGUGGUGGUUUCUGCGGUGGGGAAGAAACGCAAUUCAUCGAAAUGUAAUCAUUUACGUGAGGAGAUUAAGAAGAUGAGGCACUCGAGUCAGGAGGAGGAAAAAUGCUGUUCCUUGUUCCACGACAGCACCAAACUUCUGUCACGGUCCCCAAAACUGAAUCAUGAACAGUUUUUAAAAGCCGUUUUUAAUACCAAUGUACUCGGCAAAUGUGUUUAUUUUAACCGUGCGGUGGCGCCAGAUACUCUGUAAUCGGUAAUGACAAAUGGAGACAUAAUUAAUUUACAACAUUAACAGGAUGACUCGUUGAAUUCAUUUUGGGAGCGACGACUGAAUGUAUUUUUAGUCAAAUGCCUGUAUAUAAGAUUAGUACUGGCAAAGUUCAGAGGCUGUCAUAUAUGUUAAUCAACUUACUAUGUUGUAUAUUUUCAUUAUGAAAAAUAACUUUUAUAUCGAUGGAUUAAUUGCAUUUUGAAAAAAAAAAAAAAAAACGUGUCAUGGAUUUAUUGCAUUUUGGGGAAUAAAUAAUCCGUUUUUAAUAACAAACCUUUGAAAAUCAAAAUCUAGAUUUUAAUGUUUAAUGUUUUUAUAACCAAAAGAUGCUAUGUGAAAGUUUGAAACAGAAAAUAGUGGUUUUCAUCUUGCUGGUUUCUUGAUAAAGAAAACACAUUUUUACUCAAAUUAAUCAAAAUGGAUUUAUAUCAUUUUGGAACCAAACUCUUUUAUUUAUUUAAAUCAAAAAAUACAGGGGGGAAAAAACAGCAAUAUUGUAAAAUAUUAUUACAGUUUAAAAUAAUGGUUUUCUAUUUUAAUAUACUUGAAAAUUUAAUUUAUUUCUGUGAUCAAAGCUGAAUUUUCAGCAUCAUUACUCCAGUCUUCAGUGUCACAUGAUCCUUCAGAAAUCAUUCUAAUAUGAUGAUUUAUUAUCAGUGUUGGAAACAGUAGUGCUGCUUAAUAUUUUUUAUAACCUGUGAUACUUUUUGAUGAAUAAAAAGAUUUAUAUUGUUAAAAAAGUAAAUAAUUUCUAUUUUGAAAAAAUGCUGUUUUUAACUUUUUAUUAAUUAAAGAAUCCUGAAAAAUCCCUCGAAGGAACAAGUGAUGAAAUAGUCUUUCCUGAUGUCAUCCCUGCCACCACACCAUUAUAUAAUCCAGGUCAUCAAACAGCCUCCGGGACAUGUGAUCUUAAUGAAAAAAGAACAGCAUUUAUUAGAAAUAGAAAGCUUUUGUAACAUUACACACUGCCGUUAAAAAGUUUGGGGUCAGUAAGACUUUUUUUUUUUUUAAAUAAACUUUUUUUUAAAUAAAGCCUUGACCGUAAGUUCAUCUGUUUAUGUAGGUCUGUAUUUAACGUACAAUUUGCUUUAAUUUACAAUGACUACAUGCUCACAGUUCAUGUGUUCGGGUUGUGGCCCGGAGGACUCCUUCCCACUCGAGUUUGACCUUGCUAAGUAAAUGUCGGCCGCAAUUUUUAAAUCGCAGUUGUUUUUGGCUAAUAGUCCGGUAAAAAAA